UUCAUAUGAGUAGCACCCAGGCCUCUCUGGACUCACAAAGGGGAAACUAGGUUUAGGGCUGGGAGCACCCCGCCUCCCUUCAUGAGAAACCACGGAAACGAGGCACAUGACCCGGCCCCUUUAAGGCCACCCUGCACAUUCACUGACCUGCAGGGCCCUGUCCUCCCUCUCCCAGGCAGACACAACUCCUCCGGGUGGACAAGGACAGAGAAGACAGGGAGAGGUUGGCCAUGGGCCCCCAGCCCUCCACCCUCCUGGGCCUCGUGCUCUGUCUGGGCCAGAUGAUCCACACGCAGGAGGGGGUUCAGCCCAAGCCCUCCCUCAGGGCCGAGCCAGGCUCUGUGAUCCCCCGGGGACGGCCUGUGACCUUCGUGUGCCGGGGCCCAGCUGGGGCUGAGUUAUUCCGCCUGGAGAAGGAUGAAAGACGUGUACCCCCUUAUCAGAGAAGUGUGUCUCAAGAUGGUCGGCAGGGGAGAGAGGCCAGAUUCCAAAUCUGCGCGCUGUGAAUGAACACACUGCCGGGCGUUAUAGCUGCCUCUACAACCAAGGGUCCCACUGGUCUGAGCGCAGUGAGCCCCUGCAGCUGCAGGUGACAGAGGAGGACGUCUCCACUCGGCCCCCAGGCCCCGCCUCCCAGAACUACAGUGUGGAGAACAGCAUCAGCCUGAUUCUGGCGGGCGUGGUCCUGCUGAUCCUGGUGGCGAUUCUGGUGGAAGCUGGGCUCAGCCAGCGCAGGACCCCACAGCGAACACAGGAGUAACCACAAGGGAGCCCCUCCCCCCAGAGAAAGAGGACCCCAGGGCGCCAGCAGGGAGCUCCCUGAGUGCCCCAAGGCUCACGCUGGAGCCCAGGACACCCAGAUCUGCUCCCACUGUUUUUCAAGGACAAGAACACCCAGGCCCACGUGGGUUAGGAUGCUUGGCCUCAACCCCUCCUCUUCCUAGGACCCUAGAGAGGAGUCAGCCUGAUUGACCAGCAGGCAGACAAGGCAGGGUCCAGGGGAGACAAAGGCCGGUGGAGUGUAGGCAGAGCAGACCUAGCCACCUGAGCCAGCCUGACUGUGGAAGCCAGCCUCACAGAAAUAACAGGAUGAUUUUAUUAUAGACUCAGAAGGGAGGCAGGGGAACUAGGGAGGGGCUGCCACAAUCAGGUGAGCUGAGGCAGAGGGACCUAGAAGGUUCAGGUCUGCUUCUGGGCAACAACAAUGGAGAGGAUCCAUGAGGUGGCCACAGGGGGCGAUAGAGAGCAGGUUUGUAGCAAGUAUAUACCCCUAGACCCCAGCCUUCAGGGGCAACCAUGACUGAGCCUCUCCCCAUGUGGGAGUCUCAAUGUGCUUGCAAUAAAGUUUCCACACUUUGGCUUCAA